CCUGUUAGAACCGACCAUCGCAAUCAACGAUCUCAUUGCACGCGAACCUCGUGGUACCACGUGACGCGAGACUACCGUUGCUGGCCCCGACCUUCAGUUCGUAUAUCCUCGUCGGUCCGUGAAAAAGAACGGCCGUCGGUGUUCGUCGCUGAUUCAACCCGCCCAUUCAGGCAGCACUAACCGUGUGGCUGCAUCUGCGACCUUCGCCACCCUUGACCCAAUCUUUCGUCCUCGACUGGGCACCUAGAACAUUCAACCGCUGCGGCCGAAUAAGCGCUUCGAAAGCAGGCCUCCGCUCUGCCCCGAGUGCUGCCCACGCCGGUGGUGGAAAAAAAGACGUCGCGCUAGAAAAGCAUCGCUUGCUGUCGAAACCCGUAAGCUGUGCUGGUGAAUUCGUGCACGCCCUUCUGAAGACAUUCUGGCUGUGUUCCUGGACCGUUCUCCGAUUUGAGCGAAUAAUCCACUCCAGCCAUGACUGAGAUGUCCGAGGGGUCAACGUUCUCAGGCGGCGAACCCUCCGGGAUUGAGGAGUCGGCCAUGAGCGCCACUGCAAUUUACUGUGAGUUUCGCGCAGUGCUUUUAUCAAAUACCCUUUACAUAGAGGCACAAACCACAACGGUAUGACGAGAAGUAGGACGAACAAGGGAAGCCUCGGCUCGGAGCCAACGUUUUGACAGGAAGACUUUGUUAGGCUAGGCCAGCUUCUUUCCUAUGCCGGGGUUU